rnacentral:lncRNA from 1 species
GGUAAAUUAAAAACCAUCAAGGUUGUGUAAUAAGAAUGCAAAAAUUUGAUAGUCAAGUGUAAAACUUGAAAAAUUCUCAACCUCAAUUGUGUGAACAUAACACAUUGAAGAUCACUUAGAUCUCACAGUAAUAGGCUGCAUGACCAUUACCUUGUGUAUGCUACAAUUUUGAUAUAAGGAAUACACUUGAAGGUAAUCGCUUGUUGAGAUUUACAAAGCGUAGACCUCACAGUAAGAGAGGAUAGUCUGCACAUGUGCAGUAGAUCACAACUCAUUACCUUGUGAUUCCAAAUAAGACGAGAGAGAAAUAUUCAAAAAUUUGCAAGUUUGAGAUGCGAGAGAAACUAAUCUCAAUCGCAAUAAGAAACAUGUUCAAAAAUAUGUGGUAAACACAUGGAACAUGCCAUGCUUCCCGGAUGAAAUCCGAUACUUUAUUUAUAUUAUCAAGUCAUUACAUAAUAUAAACACACUUGUAAUUACACAAAUCUUACACUAGAAUAAAUCUAGAACUGGACUAAAUAUAAAUAGUAGUACUAAAAUAGUACUAAACAUAGUCUAAAACUAUACUAUAUACAGUAACUAGUGCUAG